rnacentral:rRNA from 1 species
UGCAAGUCGAACGGCAGCACGGGGCAACCUGGUGGCGAGUGGCGAACGGGUAGAGUAAUGCAUCGGAACGUGCCAUUGAGUGGGGGGUAACGUAGCGAAAGUUACGCUAAUACCGCAUAUUCUGUGAGCAGGAAAGCAGGGGAUCGCAAGACCUUGCGCUCUUUGAGCGGCCGAUGUCAGAUUAGCUAGUUGGUGAGGUAACGGCUUACCAAGGCGACGAUCUGUAGCGGGUCUGAGAGGAUGAUCCGCCACACUGGAACUGAGACACGGUCCAGACUCCUACGGGAGGCAGCAGUGGGGAAUUUUGGACAAUGGGGGCAACCCUGAUCCAGCCAUGCCGCGUGAGUGAAGAAGGCCUUCGGGUUGUAAAGCUCUUUCGGCCGGGAAGAAAUCGCAUGGGUUAAUACCCUGUGUGGAUGACGGUACCGGCAUAAGAAGCACCGGCUAACUACGUG